rnacentral:misc_RNA from 1 species
GACAAUUUCAGAAUGUGUAGGGCUCUAAUGCCUGGAGAAGAAGAAAGCAUGAAUGAUGAAUCGAUAUGGGAGACAUUACCUGUGAGUUUUGUUAACUUGAAGAGCUGUUGAAGUCCUUUAGCAAUUGUUUUUGGGCUUAUUUCUUCUCUUCCCCUCCCUCUCCCUCUUCAUCCCCAAAAAAGGUAAAACAAAAAAGAAAAAAAGGUUGCAUUAUAGUUUAUUAAAGAGUACAAAAUGCUUGAAUAAUCAUACUUGUGAAAGUAAAACUUUAUCAACUCUAUAAAUAUGCACUUGUAAUCCUCUCUUUUACAGCAAAUAUUAUGACCAAGGGAUGGGAGAGCUUGAUGAGCUGACUUAGGUGGGCUGACUGAAAUGGGCAGGGCAGUAUUCUGUUA